UUCCUAGACCUUUAUAUCUUUUUUUAAGCCUAUUCAUACAAAUAUUUAUUUCUCUUUCAUGUCUUUUUUUUUCUCCCAACUUUUGCUGAUGGUGCGAUCUGCCUGGUGGAGCCCCCUCACGCCACAACAGACCUUGUAACUGAUGAAGAGUACGAGGAGACUUUGUCUGCUGCCUUCACAGAGGGGGAACCAGAAAGGCCUAUAGAGGGCAUGGCUGGGCAGCAGCAGGAGGGUCCCUCAACUUCAACCGCACAGAUUGACACAGUGAGUUACCAGUGAAAGACAUCUAUAAAAUAUUUCUGCUGAAAAAAAUUGAGAAAACCGACAAAGAAAUUCAGUUCUUGGACCGCCAGAUGAGAAGGGCAGAUCUCGAAAUUGAAUUACUAGAGCACAAGUUAGAGGAAAUAAAGAAGACCAAAUGAAA